UUCGGAAUCAAACGCGAGCCGAGUCGCAAUCGCAACUUUGCCGCCGCGCAGCGCACGCUGUUUUUUUUCAGUGUGUACGUUUUGAUUGCAAAAAGAAAUAAGCAAACGCAAGGCAAGCAGCAACAACGCUGAAAACAUUUUUCAUCUGCGGCCUGGAAAAGCGGCCCGAAGAAAAUGAAUAGAUAAAUUGUAUUAAUCGCCCCAUCGAGUCAGCAAAUAUCCACUGUAUAUUUAUUUUUUGUGGUGCGUUGUUCGUUGUUUUUUUCUUCUUUGCGCUUUGGGCCGUACACUUUUGUUGUUAAUUGUCCAGCUGCCCGCCUGCGAAUGAUAAUAAUGUCAUAGACGACGUGCCGCCACCCCACGCCAAUCACCCCCCUCGCCACAAAAAACAAAAAAAACAAAAACGUCGGACGACAGCCGCGUCGCCUUCACAUCAUCCAGCCAUGACCAGCGGCGGCAAUCGAUGAUUGCCAUUCCCUCAGCCAACGAGAGCCAAUAGAGGCAGUCGGAAAGGAGGACGCCCCGGAAUAGUCAGUCGGUACCGUGUCGGAAGAGUCCGCCAUUCGCAGAACGUCAAUAGCCGGAGGGGAGUCCGCCAUUUCAACGACAAGGACCCAAGUCACGCGGUGUCAACAUGCUGAUCAAGGAGUACCGCAUUCCGCUGCCCCUCACCGUCGAGGAGUACCGCAUCGCCCAGCUCUACAUGAUUGCGAAAAAGAGUCGCGAGGAGAGUCAUGGCGAGGGCAGUGGCGUUGAGAUAAUCAUCAAUGAGCCGUACAAGGAUGGACCCGGCGGAAAUGGUCAAUACACGAAGAAGAUCUACCAUGUGGGCAAUCAUCUGCCUGGCUGGAUCAAAAGUCUCUUGCCGAAAAGCGCUUUAACCGUUGAGGAGGAGGCAUGGAAUGCCUAUCCGUAUACCAGGACUCGCUACACCUGUCCGUUUGUGGAGAAGUUCUCGCUGGACAUUGAGACAUACUACUAUCCGGACAAUGGCUAUCAGGACAAUGUCUUCCAGCUGUCCGGUAGCGAUCUGCGUAAUCGGAUCGUAGACGUGAUUGACAUUGUCAAGGAUCAGCUGUGGGGCGGUGACUAUGUGAAGGAGGAGGAUCCCAAGCACUUUGUGUCGGACAAGACGGGCCGUGGACCCUUGGCCGAGGAUUGGCUGGAGGAGUAUUGGCGCGAAGUGAAGGGCAAAAAGCAGCCGACACCGCGCAACAUGUCCCUGAUGACCGCCUACAAGAUCUGCCGCGUGGAGUUCCGCUACUGGGGCAUGCAGACGAAGCUAGAGAAGUUCAUCCACGAUGUGGCGCUGCGCAAGAUGAUGCUGCGUGCCCAUCGGCAGGCGUGGGCAUGGCAGGACGAGUGGUUCGGCUUGACCAUCGAGGAUAUACGCGAGCUGGAGCGGCAGACGCAACUGGCCCUGGCCAAGAAGAUGGGCGGCGGCGAGGAGUGCAGCGACGACAGCGUCUCGGAGCCGUAUGUCAGCACGGCGGCCACCGCCGCCUCCGCAACGGGCAGCGAGCGAAAGAAGUCCGCUCCGGCUGUGCCGCCUAUUGUCACCCAGCAGCCGCCGAGCGCCGAGGCCAGUUCGGAUGAGGAGGGCGACGAGGAGGACGACGACGAGGACGAGAACGAUGCCAUUGGCACGGGCGUGGAUCUGUCUGCCAACCAAGGCGGAUCUGCGCAGCGCUCGCGCUCCCAAAGUAUUCAGAUGGCCCAGAAGGGAAAGUUUGGGUCAAAGGGCGCCCUGCACUCGCCGGUGGGAUCUGCCCAUAGCUUCGAUCUCCAGUCCAAAAAGCCGCAUGCAAAGACAGCGCCACGCAGACAUGUGGCUAACUGGCGUAUGGAGCGAUUGGAAGUGGACUCCAAAUCCAAUUCGGAUGAGGAAUUCUUUGAUUGCCUGGACACCAACGAGACGAACUCGCUGGCCAAGUGGAGCUCGCUGGAGCUGCUGGGCGAGGGCGACGACAGUCCGCCGCCACAUGGCGGACCCUCUAGUGCAGCAUCGGUGGGUGGGCGUGGCAAUUCGCGGCAAGAGGACAGCAUAUUCAAUCAGGACUUUCUGAUGCGCGUAGCUUCGGAGCGCGGCAACAAGCGACAGUUACGCUCCUCGGCCAGCGUGGAUCGCAGUCACGAUUCAUCGCCGCCGGGAUCACCGAGCACACCGUCGUGUCCCACAACCAUUCUCAUUCUGGUUGUCCAUGCGGGCAGCGUUUUGGAUGCGGCCAGCGAGCUGACCGCCAAGAAAUCCGAUGUGACCACAUUCCGUGGCUCCUUCGAGGCGGUGAUGCGACAGCACUAUCCCAGCCUCCUCACCCAUGUGACCAUCAAGAUGGUGCCGUGCCCCUCAAUAUGCACCGACGCCCUGGGCAUUCUCUCCAGCCUAAGUCCGUACUCCUUCGAUGCGUCGCCCUCGGCGGCGGAUAUACCAAAUAUAGCCGAUGUCCCCAUUGGAGCCAUACCACUACUAUCCGUGGCAUCGCCAGAAUUCCACGAGACGGUCAACAAGACGGUGGCCGCUGCCAAUAUUGUCUACCAUGAGUUUUUGAAAUCGGAAGAGGGUCACGGAUUCUCCGGCCAGAUUGUCAUGCUGGGCGAUUCGAUGGGCUCGCUGCUGGCAUAUGAGGCCCUCUGCCGAUCGAAUGGCAGCCAGCCGGGCACGGCUUCGGGUGCCUCGAAUUCCGGCGGAGAUGCAGCCACAAAUAUAAAUACCCACAAUCCGUUGAGCGCUCGUAAUUCGCGAUUGGACGACGACGAGCGUUUCAUAGAAGCCGAUCUGGAUGCCAAGCGUUUGCUGGUGGCCCCAUCGCCACGUAGACGCCGUUCCAGCUCCUCCAGCGAUUCGCGGGCCACCAAAUUGGACUUUGAGGUCUGUGACUUCUUCAUGUUCGGAUCGCCGCUGUCUGUGGUGCUGGCUGCACGGAAACUUCACGAUGCCAAGGCCGCCCUGCCGCGGCCCAACUGCCACCAGGUCUACAAUCUGUUCCAUCCAACCGAUCCGAUCGCCUCGCGCCUGGAGCCGUUACUGAGCGCCCGGUUUUCUAUAUUGGCGCCAGUCAAUGUCCCACGGUACGCCAAGUAUCCGCUGGGUAAUGGCCAGCCAUUGCAUUUAUUGGAGGUCAUUCAGUCGCAUCCGCAGCACUUUAACGAUGGCAACAACCUAUUGGCUGGUCGCCGUUUGUCGGACGCAUCCAUGCAGAGCACGAUAUCGGGUCUGAUUGAGAAUGUCUCGCUUAGUACGAUCCAUGCCCUGCAAAACAAAUGGUGGGGCACAAAGCGCUUGGAUUUCGCAUUAUAUUGCCCAGAGGGAUUGAGUAACUUCCCUGCUCACGCCUUGCCGCACCUCUUCCAUGCCAGUUACUGGGAGAGUCCGGAUGUGAUUGCCUUUAUUCUACGGCAGAUUGGCAAAUUCGAGGGCAUACCCUUUGUGGGCUCCAACGAUGACAAGGACAAUGCCUCCUUCCAUCCCGGACAGCCGAGGGAGAAGUGGAUCAAGAAACGGACCUCGGUUAAGCUGAAAAAUGUGGCCGCCAAUCAUCGGGCCAACGAUGUGAUCGUGCAGGAGGGCAGGGAGCAGCGCUUGAAUGCGAGAUUUAUGUACGGACCCCUCGACAUGAUCACGCUGCACGGUGAAAAGGUGGAUGUGCACAUUAUGAAGGAUCCGCCGGCGGGCGAGUGGACAUUCCUCAGCACCGAGGUGACGGACAAGAACGGUCGCAUCUCGUACAGCAUUCCGGAUCAGGUAUCCCUUGGCUAUGGCAUAUAUCCGGUUAAGAUGGUGGUCCGUGGCGAUCACACCUCGGUGGAUUGCUAUAUGGCGGUGGUGCCGCCGUUGACCGAAUGCGUGGUCUUCAGCAUUGAUGGCUCCUUCACCGCUUCGAUGUCGGUGACGGGCAGGGAUCCCAAGGUGCGUGCCGGAGCUGUCGAUGUUUGCCGCCACUGGCAGGAGCUGGGCUACCUGCUCAUCUACAUCACCGGACGACCGGAUAUGCAGCAGCAACGCGUGGUGUCCUGGCUGAGCCAGCACAACUUCCCGCACGGUCUGAUCUCGUUCGCCGACGGCCUGUCCACCGAUCCAUUGGGCCACAAGACGGCCUAUCUCAACAAUUUGGUUCAGAACCAUGGAAUCUCAAUUACUGCCGCCUACGGCAGCAGCAAGGACAUUAGUGUCUACACGAAUGUUGGCAUGCGAACCGACCAAAUCUUCAUCGUGGGCAAGGUUGGCAAGAAGCUGCAGUCGAAUGCCACCGUGCUUAGCGAUGGCUAUGCCGCCCACUUGGCCGGUUUGCAGGCUGUGGGUGGUUCGCGUCCGGCGAAGGGCAAUGCCCGCAUGGUCAUUCCCCGCGGAUGCUUCAAUCUUCCCGGCCAGACCGCGAAUCCGCGGCGCAGAAGGCUGCAUGAACAAGCAACGAAUGAAAAUUUAAUUGCAAUCAAGCAAACCAAUUGUUUAGAGCAAUGAAAAACAACAAUUAAAGCAUCUUGUAAACAGAUAGAAGCGUUGAAAACAAAAACAAAACAUUACAGACAAUUGAUGUUAGAAUUAGUGUUCUAGAAUAUACCCAACACUCCCCACACAAUUUUUCAGUUCCUUUGUUACGUAUUUUGAAGCAUACCUAGCUGAGCAUUUUAUUGAUUGAUUGAUUGGUGUUGUGAAAAAAAGAAACAAAAUUGAUGAAAAAAAAUACGAUAAAUAUCGAUCUUAGAAACGUUUCCAUCUUAGAGCCAAAAUUCAACUCUUUCUCAACGUUAACUCUGUCUUUCUUUUUCCAAACAAAAAAUAUCCAAAAUUUGUCUGAAAAAAAAACAAAAACAAAUCCAACACCACACCAACACACACACCUCACACCACGCACACACACUGCCAUCGACCGUGUCUGUCAUCGAUAAUCGAUAAACACAGCAACGAGACAGGACUCUCAUCACCCAUACGCAGUGGUUACCUGAAGCGCAAGACCUACCUGAGCCACCACUAGAGCAGCAGAGAUGCAGAUACAGAUGCAGCUAUAUAGAUCGAUCCAUCAGAUAGAAGUGAAACCACCAGUCCUCAGAACCCCAAUAGAACUCCCUUCGAUAUAGCGAAAAAAAAUAUAUAGAGCCAAUGGACCACAAGACCGAUGCCUCCAUAUGCCACAUCUAUGUAUAUACCAUAUAAAUAUAUAUUUAUAUACUAUGCGCGAUAUAUUGAAAGUUUAAUGGUGUAAUAUAUACAUAUAUCAAAUACCAAAAUUAGCAAAUGAGAAAAAAACAAUUGUACAACAUUUAACAAAAGUCAAAUGUGUCACGCGGUACCUGGAAAGAAAGACUGUUUCCUCCUGUUGUUUGAUGGUUUUCCAAACCACUUAAAGCAUAAAAAAACAAACAUUGAAAACUACACGAAACAAAAGCCGAUCGCAAAGCUAUAAACUAAAUACAAUUAUAAAUGAUAUAUACAGAGAUAUAUUCGAAAUAUAGAACCGUUUAACAUAUGCAAGCGAACCAAGUUCAGCCAACCAAGUGAGUUACAACAACCGAAGGACAAACUACCGAAACCGAAGAUCUCCCAAUGAUUAAUGAUACCAACUGGAAGAGGAGCGAGGAGCGCGGAUGGAGUUGCUAAUCAAAAAAAAGGCAAAUUUAAUGCAUUUCUCGAGAAACAACCAUUACAAAAGUAUAAAUGAACGGCUUCUGUAAAACGAAUUAAAACCUAAAAGUAGAUAUAUGUAUCUAUGUGUAUGUGCGUGUAAAAUUGACAAAAAUACAAAUAAUCGGUUCUUAAGAAACAAAACCUAAAUGUAAAAACUUCUCGAAAUUGAAUACAAUCUCUUAACUGGCCCCAGAAAUUUCAAAUCUCCAUAAUUGUGAUAGUCUUUCGCUACCAAAAGUUAUUUAAAAAGAUGAUGAAACAGCAAAUUAUAUAUUUAUCUCUACUAAAAUUGUUAUUCGAAAAGGAAAGACAUUUCGGAAUGAAACAAAAAAAAACAUAAAAUAUUGGAUAUUGUGUAAACGUGAAACCCGAUUUUGUGAUACCAAAACUAAAACCGAAACCAAAAACCAAAGUUGAGUUCGAAUUGAGGCGCGAUCAAGCCGAAAACUUAAAAACCUAUGCAAACAACUCAAGGCGACCUGAAGAUUAACGGGCAUUGAAUCUGACCCAUAUAGUAAUAUAUAUAUAUAUAUAUAUAUAUACAUCUCUAGGGUAUAUAUAAUACCACAAUAUAUGCAAAACCCCAAUUAUGGGCUGUCCACGCAAGUUAACUAAAAACUCUCACACACAUCAUGUAAGCUAAAGAAAAAGCUAACCAGAUUUGAAGGUACACUUGGGACCUUAAGAAUAGAAAAGAUAUAAAGAUAUAUUGAUAUAUUGAUAUAUAUGUGUAUGUCAUCUGUAAUCUGUUCGAUCCGUUUAGGUUUACCUAAGCUAAAGUUAGUUGAGUUAGGCGAUUAAGAUACUUCCUAAACUGAAAAGUAAACGCAAGUUAAAGAGUUUAAAUCGAUAGUUGUAAUGAGAGCAGAGUAAUUGUAUGUACAGAUGAAUAUAUACCUAAAGCAUAUACUGUAUAUUUAUAUAGCGCAACUACCAAUUAAGGUCUUUUGAAGCUUGCUAACUGAAAAAGUGUUCCGAUUAAAGUAUUGUCCGGCUAUACGUUCCUCUAUCCUCCAGUUGAGUCGAUUUUUAGCUAUAUUUCAUUUCAAUUAUCCUUUGCAGCAAGUAUUAAACUGCAAACUGAUGGAAGAUCUUAUAGAGUUUAAGAUGAAUCUCGACCUAUGAAAUGUUUAUCCUAUAUAAGUGAGUAGUUCAAGGUUUAAGAACGAGGUAAAACGAUGUUUAGACGCAAGUCCUAUUAAAUAACACACCAGAUACUCAUAGAGUCAAAGGGUUUAUGUCUGUCUACGUAGCUGGUACAUUAAGGGCAUUUUUGCUAUACAUUUUCUAUAAGUCCACGCCGACUUCCUUUCCAACUAGAUCUAUGUACUAUUUGUAAAUGAAUAAUGCGUUCAACUUCUCAGAAUAGCAAAUUUGAGCUUAUCUUAUGUGUUUAAAACUGCUCCAUAUCACUUUAUUUUUGCGAGAGAUAAUCGUUGUUUGUUUCGGAAAUUGGAUUUAUCUUUUAGUUUCGUCUAUUGUUUGAUAUAAACUCCCCACCUAAAGCAGAAAUAAGCUGCGGAAAUAGAACUGGAAAACUCAAACGGAUUCAGAUUUCACACAAUGGCAUAUUAUGUGUUGCUCUAUGUGUUUCUAAUAUUUCAUAACGAUCGGUUGACUUAUUCUUGAUUUAUCUUUGCAAUUUAUAGACCACCUAUGUAGAGCCAAUAAAGCGUCGAGCGAAAUUGCAUUGAUAUUUUGAGUACCCACCAUUUAGAUGAUAAGCUAAAAACCCCAAACACAAAACGACGAUGACUAAUGCAGAAAAUAUAAUCAAACAAAAAUCUGAAAACAAUACAAAGGAAAAUACAUACAUGGUUAUGUAUUUUAAUUACGAGUCUUAAGUGCAAAAGUCCAGGAAUAACGAAUACGCAUUCAGAUUGUAAAGAAUUCUAAGAAGAGCGAAGCGAAAAUCGAACAAAUUAUGAAAUUAUUUAUUGACAAAAAAAUCUACAAACCGAUGAACAAAAAAAAAAUGAGGAGCAAGCCAAAUGCAAUCUAUUUACAAAAUCCUAAAAAAAGCAAAGCAAGAAUUACAAACCAAACAAAUUAAGCUGAGCUGAUUCCACGAAAAUGGAUAUAUAUAUAUAGAUAUAUAAUAUAAAACUACGCAAAAUUAAGAGAUUUUUAAGCCAAAAGUUGAAAUUGAACUAUGACAAAUAACAAGAGUAAACCAAUUCAAAAAUGGCAGUAACAAAUAUUUUUCGAUGUAAGCUGUUUGUUAGAAAAAUAUCGAGUUUCGGUGAACAGAAUAGUGGCUACAAAACCAGUCAAUCAAUUCACAGAAAAUCGAUAAGAGAGCGGUUGGUUCAUGACAAGAUAAAAAAAAAAAAA